GGGUGAGUAACACGUGGGUAACCUGCCCAUAAGACUGGGAUAACUCCGGGAAACCGGGGCUAAUACCGGAUAACAUUUUGAACUGCAUGGUUCGAAAUUGAAAGGCGGCUUCGGCUGUCACUUAUGGAUGGACCCGCGUCGCAUUAGCUAGUUGGUGAGGUAACGGCUCACCAAGGCAACGAUGCGUAGCCGACCUGAGAGGGUGAUCGGCCACACUGGGACUGAGACACGGCCCAGACUCCUACGGGAGGCAGCAGUAGGGAAUCUUCCGCAAUGGACGAAAGUCUGACGGAGCAACGCCGCGUGAGUGAUGAAGGCUUUCGGGUCGUAAAACUCUGUUGUUAGGGAAGAACAAGUGCUAGUUGAAUAAGCUGGCACCUUGACGGUACCUAACCAGAAAGCCACGGCUAACUACGUG
rnacentral:rRNA from 1 species